rnacentral:rRNA from 1 species
CGAGCGUUGUCCGGAAUUACUGGGCAUAAAGGGUGCUUAGGCGGAUGUGUAAGUCAGGUGUGAAAGCCCUCGGCUCAACCGGGGAAUUGCGCUUGAAACUGCACGUCUAGAGCAUGUCAGAGCCAGGCGGAAUUCCCGGAGUAGCAGUGAAAUGCGUAGAUAUCGGGAAGAACACCGGUGGCGAAGGCGGCCUGCUUGGGACAGUGCUGACGCUGAGGCACGAAAGCGUGGGGAGCGAACGGGAUUAGAUACCCCGGUAGUCCACGCCGUAAACGAUGGAUACCAGAUGUUGGACACGCUGAAGUGUUCAGUGUCGAAACAAAUGCGAUAAGUAUCCCGCCUGGGGAGUACGACCGCGAGGUUUAAACUCAAAGGAAUUGACGGGGGCCCGCACAAGCGGUGGAGCAUGUGGUUUAAUUCGAUGCAACGCGAAGAACCUUACCCGGAUUUGACAUCCUUCGGACCGUCUCUGGAGACAGAGACUUUCUCUUCGGAGACCGAAGUGACAGGUGCUGCAUGGCUGUCGUCAGCUCGUGUUGUGAAAUGUUGGGUUAAGUCCCGCAACGAGCGCAACCCUUGUUCUUAGUUGCCAGCAUUAAGAUGGGCACUCUAAGAAGACUGCCGAGGUUAACUCGGAGGAAGGUGGGGAUGACGUCAAGUCCUCAUGGCCCUUAUGUCCGGGGCUACACACGUGCUACAAUGGUAUAGACAGAGGGAAGCUACGCCGCAAGGCCACGCGGAUCCUCAAACUGUAUCACAGUUCGGAUCGGGGUCUGCAACUCGACCUCGUGAAGGUGGAAUCGCUAGUAAUCGCGGAUCAGCAUGCCGCGGUGAAUAAGUUCCCGGGCAUUGUACACACCGCCCGUCACACCAUGGAAGUUGUCUUCACUGGAAGAUGCUGAGCCAGCCAGGCAGG